rnacentral:rRNA from 1 species
GGAAAGGCGCGCGAUACAGGGUGACAGCCCCGUACACAAAAAUGCACAUGCUGUGAGCUCGAUGAGUAGGGCGGGACACGUGGUAUCCUGUCUGAAUAUGGGGGGACCAUCCUCCAAGGCUAAAUACUCCUGACUGACCGAUAGUGAACCAGUACCGUGAGGGAAAGGCGAAAAGAACCCCGGCGAGGGGAGUGAAAAAGAACCUGAAACCGUGUACGUACAAGCAGUGGGAGCACGCUUAGGCGUGUGACUGCGUACCUUUUGUAUAAUGGGUCAGCGACUUAUAUUCUGUAGCAAGGUUAACCGAAUAGGGGAGCCGAAGGGAAACCGAGUCUUAACUGGGCGUUAAGUUGCAGGGUAUAGACCCGAAACCCGGUGAUCUAGCCAUGGGCAGGUUGAAGGUUGGGUAACACUAACUGGAGGACCGAACCGACUAAUGUUGAAAAAUUAGCGGAUGACUUGUGGCUGGGGGUGAAAGGCCAAUCAAACCGGGAGAUAGCUGGUUCUCCCCGAAAGCUAUUUAGGUAGCGCCUCGUGAAUUCAUCUCCGGGGGUAGAGCACUGUUUCGGCAAGGGGGUCAUCCCGACUUACCAACCCGAUGCAAACUGCGAAUACCGGAGAAUGUUAUCACGGGAGACACACGGCGGGUGCUAACGUCCGUCGUGAAGAGGGAAACAACCCAGACCGCCAGCUAAGGUCCCAAAGUCAUGGUUAAGUGGGAAACGAUGUGGGAAGGCCCAGACAGCCAGGAUGUUGGCUUAGAAGCAGCCAUCAUUUAAAGAAAGCGUAAUAGCUCACUGGUCGAGUCGGCCUGCGCGGAAGAUGUAACGGGGCUAAACCAUGCACCGAAGCUGCGGCAGCGACGCUUAUGCGUUGUUGGGUAGGGGAGCGUUCUGUAAGCCUGCGAAGGUGUGCUGUGAGGCAUGCUGGAGGUAUCAGAAGUGCGAAUGCUGACAUAAGUAACGAUAAAGCGGGUGAAAAGCCCGCUCGCCGGAAGACCAAGGGUUCCUGUCCAACGUUAAUCGGGGCAGGGUGAGUCGACCCCUAAGGCGAGGCCGAAAGGCGUAGUCGAUGGGAAACAGGUUAAUAUUCCUGUACUUGGUGUUACUGCGAAGGGGGGACGGAGAAGGCUAUGUUGGCCGGGCGACGGUUGUCCCGGUUUAAGCGUGUAGGCUGGUUUUCCAGGCAAAUCCGGAAAAUCAAGGCUGAGGCGUGAUGACGAGGCACUACGGUGCUGAAGCAACAAAUGCCCUGCUUCCAGGAAAAGCCUCUAAGCAUCAGGUAACAUCAAAUCGUACCCCAAACCGACACAGGUGGUCAGGUAGAGAAUACCAAGGCGCUUGAGAGAACUCGGGUGAAGGAACUAGGCAAAAUGGUGCCGUAACUUCGGGAGAAGG